AUGAGGAGCUUCAGUGUUAGUGUCACUGCUGUUCCAGAUUCAGGUAUGUCUAAAGCUGUUCCAGAUUCAGGUCUGUCUAAAGCUGUUUUAGAUUCAGGUCUGUCUCCAGCUGUUGUAGCAGGAAUAUCUGCAGGUGGUGUUCUGCUGGUGUCUGCAGCUGCUGUGAUUUACUCUCGCCGCAGACGAUGCAGGCACUGGCGUCAAGUCAUGUGAUAUAUUAUUAGCUACGGUGAGAUACUAUUUGCAGUGUGUACAAAACUAGUAAUAACUGUAUAUAAUAAUAAAGUAAUAGGUCUCUAUUGUUGAACACUACCUGUGCUGUGAGAUAAUCAAGUUCCAUAAUCAAGCUGAUAUUUGAUUUAUAGAUGAUGAAGAUGACUUGCCCCCUGAUCUGACUGAGAAAGGGGCUCACAAUGACACAAUGUAACAUUAUUUAUUAUCUACAUACUUUCAAUGAAAGUGAGAGUGAAGAAAAUUUUAGAAACUGGAAGAGGAAGAUCAGCUGCAGACAUGAACAAUGAGACAUAUGGUCUGAUUCUGGU
rnacentral:lncRNA from 1 species